CGUAGGUGAACCUGCGGAAGGAUCAUUGUCGAAACCUGCCCAGCAGAACGACCCGCGAACUUGUAUAAACAACUGGGGGCGGGGGGCGUUCUCGCCCCGUGCCCCCGAACGGCGGGGAGACACUCGUGCCUUCUUGCCGAACAACGAACCCCGGCGCGGUCCGCGCCAAGGAACUUCAACUAAAGAGUGCCUCCGGUCGCCUCGGAAACGGCGUGCGUGCCGGAGGCGAAUCUUGUGCAAAACCAUAACGACUCUCGGCAACGGAUAUCUCGGCUCUC
rnacentral:misc_RNA from 1 species